GAUGAACGCUGGCGGCGUGCCUAAUACAUGCAAGUCGAGCGAACGGACGAGAAGCUUGCUUCUCUGAUGUUAGCGGCGGACGGGUGAGUAACACGUGGAUAACCUACCUAUAAGACUGGGAUAACUUCGGGAAACCGUAGCUAAUACCGGAUAAUAUUUUGAACCGCAUGGUUCAAAAGUGAAAGACGGUCUUGCUGUCACUUAUAGAUGGAUCCGCGCUGCAUUAGCUAGUUGGUAAGGUAACGGCUUACCAAGGCAACGAUGCAUAGCCGACCUGAGAGGAUGAUCGGCCACACUGGAACUGAGACACGGUCCAGACUCCUACGGGAGGCAGCAGUAGGGAAUCUUCCACAAUGGGCGAAAGCCUGACGGAGCAACGCCGCGUGAGUGAUGAAGGUCUUCGGAUCGUAAAACUCUGUUAUUAGGGAAGAACAUAUGUGUAAGUAACUGUGCACAUCUUGACGGUACCUAAUCAGAAAGCCACGGCUAACUACGUG
rnacentral:rRNA from 1 species